GAUGAACGCUGGCGGCGUGCCUAAUACAUGCAAGUCGAGCGAACGGACGAGAAGCUUGCUUCUCUGAUGUUAGCGGCGGACGGGUGAGUAACACGUGGAUAACCUACCUAUAAGACUGGGAUAACUUCGGGAAACCGGAGCUAAUACCGGAUGAUAUUUUGAACCGCAUGGUUCAAAAGUGAAAGACGGUCUUGCUGUCACUUAUAGAUGGAUCCGCGCUGCAUUAGCUAGUUGGUAAGGUAACGGCUUACCAAGGCAACGAUGCAUAGCCGACCUGAGAGGGUGAUCGGCCACACUGGAACUGAGACACGGUCCAGACUCCUACGGGAGGCAGCAGUAGGGAAUCUUCCGCAAUGGGCGAAAGCCUGACGGAGCAACGCCGCGUGAGUGAUGAAGGUCUUCGGAUCGUAAAACUCUGUUAUUAGGGAAGAACAUAUGUGUAAGUAACUGUGCACAUCUUGACGGUACCUAAUCAGAAAGCCACGGCUAACUACGUGCCAGCAGCCGCGGUAAUACGUAGGUGGCAAGCGUUAUCCGGAAUUAUUGGGCGUAAAGCGCGCGUAGGCGGUUUUUUAAGUCUGAUGUGAAAGCCCACGGCUCAACCGUGGAGGGUCAUUGGAAACUGGAAAACUUGAGUGCAGAAGAGGAAAGUGGAAUUCCAUGUGUAGCGGUGAAAUGCGCAGAGAUAUGGAGGAACACCAGUGGCGAAGGCGACUUUCUGGUCUGUAACUGACGCUGAUGUGCGAAAGCGUGGGGAUCAAACAGGAUUAGAUACCCUGGUAGUCCACGCCGUAAACGAUGAGUGCUAAGUGUUAGGGGGUUUCCGCCCCUUAGUGCUGCAGCUAACGCAUUAAGCACUCCGCCUGGGGAGUACGACCGCAAGGUUGAAACUCAAAGGAAUUGACGGGGACCCGCACAAGCGGUGGAGCAUGUGGUUUAAUUCGAAGCAACGCGAAGAACCUUACCAAAUCUUGACAUCCUUUGACAACUCUAGAGAUAGAGCCUUCCCCUUCGGGGGACAAAGUGACAGGUGGUGCAUGGUUGUCGUCAGCUCGUGUCGUGAGAUGUUGGGUUAAGUCCCGCAACGAGCGCAACCCUUAAGCUUAGUUGCCAUCAUUAAGUUGGGCACCCUAAGUUGACUGCCGGUGACAAACCGGAGGAAGGUGGGGAUGACGUCAAAUCAUCAUGCCCCUUAUGAUUUGGGCUACACACGUGCUACAAUGGACAAUACAAAGGGCAGCGAAACCGCGAGGUCAAGCAAAUCCCAUAAAGUUGUUCUCAGUUCGGAUUGUAGUCUGCAACUCGACUACAUGAAGCUGGAAUCGCUAGUAAUCGUAGAUCAGCAUGCUACGGUGAAUACGUUCUCGGGUCU
rnacentral:rRNA from 1 species